CGCAGGCGGUCUGUUAAGCUAGAUGUGAAAGCCCCGCGCUCAACGUGGGAGGGUCAUUUAGAACUGGCAGACUGAAGUCUUGGAGAGGGGGAUGGAAUUCCAGGUGUAGCGGUGAAGUGCGUAGAGAUCUGGAGGAACAUCAAUGGCGAAGGCAGCUCCCUGGCCAAAGACUGACGCUCAUGUGCGAAAGUGUGGGUAGCGAACAGGAUUAGAUACCCUGG
rnacentral:rRNA from 1 species